rnacentral:lncRNA from 1 species
GGGAGGGAGGGAGGGAGGGAGGGAUGGAGGGAGGGUAGGGCAUGAUUCGCUCACGAUUAGCUCGCUUAGGUGUUUUGUACCGGUGUUAGAACGUGUACGUACGUUUGAAGUUUGCGUGCAACUGCGAUGACAAGAUUAUUUUCCGUGCUGUUCAAACUUCAAUUUCAAUUUGCCGCUUAUGCUUCACUUAUCGUCGACGCGUGAUGGAGUAGCGCACUGCGAAUCGUACGAGAGAUUCACGAGAUUCACGAGAGCGAACCGAGACGAAGAAAGAGGGAACGUUGCGAUGGAGAGAGAAAAAGGGAGAGAGAGAGAGAGAAAAAAAAGGGAAGGAAAAUGCAAUGAAAGUAGUCAGUUGCAUAACACUCACAGGGUUUUCAAAUCUUUACAACUUAUUUUCUAAAGGCUUAAGAUAACAUUUAUAUAGCCGUGAAAUGGUCUUCUUUUUAAUGAGAUUUAUAUGAUGGAUAUCGUAGUCUCUGGGCAAUCAAAGAUGGCACUAUGUAUAGAUUAUAAACGAGAUAUCUUUAAAUAAGUCCUAAGGGUACGCGAACGAAUAUAAAACUCGAAUUAUUUUUAUUGAAUUUUUAUAAUUCACGGGCAAAGACUUUUUAAUCGGUAAUCAUUCUCAUCGUAUAUAUGUUCCCAUUUUUACGCGAUUAUAUGCGUUCGAUUCAUAUAAUUUUCCUACUAGAUUAUAUAUAUAUAUAUUAUAUAUUAUAUAUAUGUAUUUACGCAACGAAUUAGUUCUUAAUCGUAAUUGCAAUAUAAUUUUAUUUUUUUUCUUCAUAAUUAUAGAAACGUACUUAAAAUAUUUUUCAUUCGUACUUAAGAUAUAUCUAUGUCAUUUUUUAUGCGCGAAGAAGAGUUUAUAUGUCUAUGGAAUUCUUUAAGGAGAAGAAAAAAAAAAAAGAAAAAAGAAAAAAAGAAAACAAAAAAGGAAA